UCCCUAUGGGGUGCAGCAGGCGCGAAAACUCUGCAAUAAGCGAAAGCUUGACAGGGUUAUUCUGAGUGAUUUCCGCUAAGGAAAUCUUUUGGCACCUCUAAAAAUGGUGCAGAAUAAGGGGUGGGCAAGCCUGGUGUCAGCCGCCGCGGUAAUACCAGCACCCCGAGUGGUCGGGACGAUUAUUGGGCCUAAAGCAUCCGUAGCCGGUUCUACAAGUCUUCCGUUAAAUCCACCUGCUCAACAGAUGGGCUGCGGAGGAUACUAUAGAGCUAGGAGGCGGGAGAGGCAAGCGGUACUUAGUGGGUAGGGGUAAAAUCCGUUGAUCCAUUGAAGACCACCAGUGGCGAAGGCGGCUUGCCAGAACGCACUCGACGGUGAGGGAUGAAAGCUGGGGGAGCAAACCGGAUUAGAUACCCGGGUAGUCCCAGCUGUAAACGAUGCAGACUCGGUGAUGAAUAGGCUUCGUGCCUAUUCAGUGCCGCAGGGAAGCCGUUAAGUCUGCCGCCUGGGGAGUACGGUCGCAAGACUGAGACUUAAAGGAAUUGGCGGGGGAGCACCACAAGGGGUGAAGCCUGCGGUUCAAUUGGAUUCAACGCCGGAA
rnacentral:rRNA from 1 species